AGCACGGGGGCAACCCUGGUGGCGAGUGGCGAACGGGUGAGUAAUACAUCGGAACGUGCCCAGUCGUGGGGGAUAACGCAGCGAAAGCUGUGCUAAUACCGCAUACGAUCUACGGAUGAAAGCGGGGGAUCGCAAGACCUCGCGCGAUUGGAGCGGCCGAUGGCAGAUUAGGUAGUUGGUGGGGUAAAGGCUCACCAAGCCGACGAUCUGUAGCUGGUCUGAGAGGACGACCAGCCACACUGGGACUGAGACACGGCCCAGACUCCUACGGGAGGCAGCAGUGGGGAAUUUUGGACAAUGGGCGCAAGCCUGAUCCAGCCAUUCCGCGUGCAGGAUGAAGGCCCUCGGGUUGUAAACUGCUUUUGUACGGAACGAAACG
rnacentral:rRNA from 1 species